UUAGGCGGACGGGUAAGUAACGCGUGGAGAACCUGCCGUAUACUGGGGGAUAACACUUAGAAAUAGGUGCUAAUACCGCAUAAGCGCACAGCUUCGCAUGAAGCAGUGUGAAAAACUCCGGUGGUAUACGAUGGAUCCGCGUCUGAUUAGCUGGUUGGCGGGGUAAAGGCCCACCAAGGCGACGAUCAGUAGCCGGCCUGAGAGGGUGAACGGCCACAUUGGGACUGAGACACGGCCCAAACUCCUACGGAAGGCAGCAG
rnacentral:rRNA from 1 species